rnacentral:lncRNA from 1 species
GUCAAUUUAACUCAUUUUCCAUGAUCGCUUGGCCUUUUAUGGACUUUGCGUUAUAUUGUUUUUUUCCGUUUAGUAUAAUGCUGAUAUGCAAUGUUAUCAUUAUUCGGACAAUCAUCAAAUCAUUCAAGCGGUUUGCAACUAUCAAAGAAAAAACAUCGCCUAAUAAUUUGACAAAUGAAGCAAAUUCCAGACGGCAACGCAAUCGAAAUUCGAAUAUGACGGCCAUGUUACUUUCAGUGAAUAUAUCCUUCCUCGUUUGUACACUUCCGGUUUCAGUGUAUUACAUCUGUGAGAGUUUUUUCAUGGACGCAGACCCAUCACUUAUGAAUCUUCUUGAAACAAUUUCAAGCUUAUUGAUGUAUAUGAACAAUGCUAUUAGUUUCUUUCUAUACUGUCUUAGUGGGACAAAAUUCAGAAGAGAAUUAGUGAAAAUGUUAAAACGGAC